rnacentral:rRNA from 1 species
CGAUGCCUAAGACAUGCAAGUCGAACGAGACGGCCCAAUUGAAAAUUGGAGUGCUUGCCACAAAGUUGGAUUUGGUUUCCCGUCUAGUGGCGCAAGGGUGAGUAACACGUGGGUAAUCUACCUUCGAGUCUGGAAUAACAGUUGAAAUGAUUGCUAAUGCCGGAUGAUAUAUAGGAAGACAUACUACUUAUAUUAAAAGGGGCCUCAAAGCCUCGCUUGAAGAUGAGCCUGCGCCGUAUUAGUUAGUUGGUGGGGUAACGGCCUACCAAGACGACGAUGCGUAGCCGACCUGAGAGGGUGAUCGGCCACACUGGGACUGAGACACGGCCCAGACUCCUACGGGAGACAGCAGUUAGGAAUAUUCGUCAAUGGGGGAAACCCUGAACGAGCAAUGCCGCGUGAAGGAUGACGGUCCUAUGGAUUGUAAACUUCUGUUGUUAGGGAAGAACGACCUAUGUAGGAAAUGACAUAGGAGUGACGGUACCUUUCAAGAAAGCUCCGGCUAACUACGUG